rnacentral:tmRNA from 1 species
GGGGCCGACAGGAUUCGACCGGACAGGGAAGGCAUGACGUGGCGCGUCGAGGGGCGUGAUGGCCUCGUAAAAAUCACGCACACUCAUAACUGCCAACAGCGGUUAUCGUCUCGCGGCCUAACGAAGGCCGCAGGUCCCGCGACCCACGCCUGAUAGGACGCGGGACCUAGACAUCAGGCUGGUCCGCCACUCGGUGCUACCGGGAGUGCGGAUGAGAAAUCACCGGGUGCUGGGCUCGAGGCAACGCCGCUGGCGGCGGCGCCGCGGGCCGAGAUCAAAUCGCCAGACACACGCGUAGAGGCGGCAUGCUGACUGCCACGGGACGGGGGUUCGAUUCCCCCCGGCUCCAUUC